ensembl:lncRNA
AAAGAAAGAGUGAAUUUUUGUGAAGAUGACUUGCUGGAGAAGAGAAGGCUGCAGGGUGACCUCAUUGCAGCCUUCCAGUACCUAAUGGGAACCUACAAACAGGAGGGGAGUCAACUCUUUACAAGGGUAGAUAAUAGCAGGACAAGGGGAAAUGGUUUUAAGUUGAAGGAGGGAAGAUUUAGGUUGGAUGUCAGGGGGAAGCUCUUUACUAUGAGAGUGGUGAGGUGCUGGAACAGGCUGCCCGAGGAGGUUGUGGAUGCCCCGUUGCUGGAGGCAUUCAAGGCCAGGCUGGAUGUGGCUCUGGACAGCCUGGUCUAGUGAUUGGUGACCCUGCACAUAGCAGGAAGGUUGAAACUAGAUGAUCAUUGUGGUCCUUUUCAACCCAGGCCUUUCUAUGAUUCUGUGAUUCUAUGAAAUGCACAAAUCUCCAGUAAAGUUUGAGUAACAACAUAUCAUCUUUCCAUUUGCUCUGUUCUUCAGCUGUAUAUGAAAAUACUGCUGCACAGCCUGGCAUUAUACAAGCUUACCUUUCAAAUCCCCAUGGAAGAAAGGAGGUACUACUGUAUACAUGCUCACAGCUUCCCCAGGUCCUUAUUUCCCACUCUCCAGUCCAACCCAGCAGACAAGACAGCUGGUGCUCCCCGGGGCCAGACCAGGCUGUUUUUCUGGGGGCUCCUCAAAGGGCUAGAGGUGAGGCACUGGCUCUCCCUAACAGCUGCCAAAGGCUUUGUGGUGCAGCUGCAUGCACCCAGCUCUGUGGGAAGCAGGAGGAGGGCCCAACGAUGAUCUCAUGGUAGCACGGUCGGAAAGCCACGCAUUGUGUUCCUGCAUGUGCCAGCAGAGAUGUGUCAGCCCUGGCACCCAUCUCGUGGCAGCACAGAGAUGGGAGCACUCUGCUUUCUGCGACUAUAUAGUCACCAGCAGAAUAUGUAGAGGGAAAGACCCCCCAAGAAGGGUCUGAGAUGACGUCUAUGCCCCAUGAUCAGGCACCUGUUCUCCUGACAUCCUCACCUGCAGAUAAAUUUGUGCUAGUGCAGGGGGGCAGCUGAAUACUUUCCAAAAUGCUCUUCCAGUCACCUCUGCCUAUGGAGGAUUUCCUACAAAGCACUC